rnacentral:lncRNA from 1 species
UAGGAGAGACAGAAUUUUGUUACUGCUUUGAUAAGAAAGGAGAGGGAACAAAGAUGGUUCAAAGGUGUGGAGCCCAGGGAGACAGAUCCACAAAUCACUGAGAAAGGUGAGCCUGGAGAGGCAGCAUCGGACAAGCACCAUGAAGCAUUCUUUAUCUUUGAAGGCAACUCAGGUGCUCUCAUGGGUAUUUCCAUUUUCACUGUAUCUAUUGUUUCCAUUUCAUCAUCUGGAUCUCGAACUUCUCAGAGAUAGAA